CCUACGGGAGGCAGCAGUGAGGAAUAUUGGUCAAUGGACGCAAGUCUGAACCAGCCAUGCCGCGUGCAGGAAGACGGCACAAUGUGUUGUAAACUGCUUUUGUACGAGGAUAAACGCAGAUACGCGUAUCUGUCUGAAAGUAUCGUAAGAAUAAGGAUCGGCUAACUCCGUGCCAGCAGCCGCGGUAAUACGGAGGAUUCAAGCGUUAUCCGGAUUUAUUGGGUUUAAAGGGUGCGUAGGCGGUCGGAUAAGUUAGAGGUGAAAUCCCGGGGCUCAACUUCGGAAUUGCGUCUGAUACUGGUCGGCUAGAGAGUAGUUGCGGUAGGCGGAAUGUAUGGUGUAGCGGUGUAAUGCUUAGAGAUCGUACAGAACACCGAUUGCGAAGGCAGCUUACCAAGCUACUUCUGACGUUGAGGCACGAAAGCGUGGGGAGCGAACAGGAUUAGAUACCCGAGUAGUC
rnacentral:rRNA from 1 species